rnacentral:rRNA from 1 species
UACGUAGGGGGCUAGCGUUGUCCGGAAUCAUUGGGCGUAAAGCGCGCGUAGGCGGCCCGGUAAGUCCGCUGUGAAAGUCCAGGGCUCAACCCUGGAAAGCCGGUGGAUACUGCCGGGCUAGAGUCCGGAAGAGGCGAGUGGAAUUCCUGGUGUAGCGGUGGAAUGCGCAGAUAUCAGGAGGAACACCAAUAGCGAAGGCAGCUUGCUGGGACGGUACUGACGCUAAGGCGCGAAAGCGUGGGGAGCGAACAGG